CAUGUCUUUUUGAUAAUAAUUUAAGGUUUAAUCUGCUCAAUGAGGAGUUAAAUUGCCGCGGUAUUUUGACCGUGCAAAGGUAGCAUAAUAAUUAGUUUUUUGAUUGAAAGCUGGAAUGAAUGAUUGGACGAGAAGAUAGCUGUCUCUUUCUUAUUUAUUUUUUAAUUUAUCUUUUAAGUAAAAAGGCUUAAAUUUAUAUAAAAGACGAGAAGACCCUAUAGAGUUUGAUAGUUAUUUGAUUUAUAUUAUUUUGGUAUUUUAUUAGUUUAUGUUGAUUAACUAUUUAGUUGGGGUGACUAAAAGAUUUAAUAAACUCUUUUAAUUUACAAUCAUUGAUUUUUGAAUUUGUAAUCUAAUUUUAUUAAGUUUAAGAUAAAUUACCUUAGGGAUAACAGCGUAAUUUUUCUUUAGAGUUCUUAUUGUAAGGGAAGUUUACGACCUCGAUGUUGGAUUAAAGUUUAUUUUUGGUGCAAGGGCUGGAAAAUUGAGUCUGUUCGACUUUUAAAACUUUACAUGAUCUGAG
rnacentral:rRNA from 1 species